CAGCAGCCGCGGUAAUACGAAGGGUGCAAGCGUUAAUCGGAAUUACUGGGCGUAAGCGCGCGUAGGUGGUUUGGUAAGAUGGAUGUGAAAUCCCCGGGCUCAACCUGGGAACUGCAUCCAUAACUGCCUGACUAGAGUACGGUAGAGGGUGGUGGAAUUUCCUGUGUAGCGGUGAAAUGCGUAGAUAUAGGAAGGAACACCAGUGGCGAAGGCGACCACCUGGACUGAUACUGACACUGAGGUGCGAAAGCGUGGGGAGCAAACAGGAUUAGAUACCCCAGUAGUCCCUGUCUCUUAUACA
rnacentral:rRNA from 1 species